UCCCUAUCGUGUCCACCGGGUAACUCAUCCGGCCAGACGAGGGGAUGUGCGCAGGAAUGAAGUGGGACGGUGCAGGAGGUGGAGGAGUGGCUCCGUCUAAGAAGGCAAGUCCAAGCAGUUUUUUUCAUCCAUUGAUGGAAGGGAGGGGAGGGAGCAUCACCCCCAGGCCGUCUGCUAAUGGUCCGGAUUCCCGUUCAGUCUGAACCACGUGGGCUGGAGGAGCUGCGCGCGUGUAGCAAGCCUGUGGGGUUGCACAAGUGAAGAGGAAAACCAGUGCAAGAAUCCUGUAUUUAUGAUUUAAACACAUGCUUUAAACAAGAGUGGACAAAUAUAGGAAGUUUGCACAAUGUUGAACAUCUGCCCUGCAAUCCAAGUACUUAAAACCUACUAAAUUACUCA